AUCAAAAACAUAGCCCAAAGAUUUAUUUUGGGUAAAUUCUGCCCAGCGUAAUUUAUUAGCGGCCGCAGUACUUUGACUGUGCUAAGGUAGCAUAAUCAAUUGGCUUUUAAUUGUAGUCUGGAAUGAAAGGACUAAUAGGGGUUAGCUGUCUCUAUACUAUUAUUUUGAAUUUAUUUAUUAAGUGAAAAUACUUAUACAAAGAAAAAAGACGAGAAGACCCUUAGAAUUUUAAUAAAAUAUUUAAUAAUUUUUUUUUGUUGGGGCGACAUUGAAACAAUUAAACUUUCAUUAACAAUCAAGACAUUUAGGUUUGAAAGAAUAAAUUACCUUAGGGAUAACAGCAUAAUUAAUUAUUUAGUUUGUGACCUCGAUGUUGGACUAGGAACUAGAAGAUUAACCGUCUAAAUAGAUUGUUCUGUUCGAACAGAAAUUCCUACGUGAUCUGAGUUCAGA
rnacentral:rRNA from 1 species